CUUAUUCUAAGUUUGGAAGGGAGCCCAGAGUGAAGGUACUGGAAAAGAACUACCUCAGGGACCGAGCCACACAAGGAAGGAGGGAGGGAGGGAGGGAGCAGGACUCAGAGAAAAAAAGGAAAGAAGAAGGCUGUUGGAAGAUUGUCUCCACUUCAUCCUGCUUGCCCUGUGGUUUCACUUGGAAAGGAAAAAGUCCCUGAUGGACAAGGAGGAAAAAAAUGGCCAGCUAGCCUGUUGUUGGGAGAAUAGCAACAGCAUUAUUGAAAGCUAACGGACCAAACAUGACCUUGUCAAUUUGAGCCAAUGCCACCUGAUGAUUCAAACGAGACUUGAUCAGUAUGGAAUUGCAAGACUCUCCUGGAAUUUCUACACAAAUAUAUAUUUGACAUUUUACC
rnacentral:lncRNA from 1 species